AAUUUGUCCAUCACUUUCUUCUUUCUUUUUUCUAGAAAUUUCUUUAAAUUUUCCGUUCGAAGUCCGGGGAGAAUAAAAAUCGGAAAUCGAUCAAUCAAGAAUUUGGUUCGCUCACCGAAACUUACGCAAUCCGGGCCAGGCUCUAUCGGAUCCAAUAUCAAUUACGGGACGGUUGCAUACGACAUAUCGGAAGAAAUACAACGUAUCCGCGUUUCGUGCCGGGCAUACGUGCACGUAUGCGCCGAGAUAAAUGCCGUGGCGCGCGUUUAAUCGGUCGCACAAGUAGAAAGAGUAAUUUCGAAAGACUCGGGGAGGGAGUAGGAGGCACGUGCCAGUGGUGCGCGCGUGCGCUCGACGCACGGUGGCACUCGGCUAUUUUCGAAGAACGUGAUAUAAGUCCCGAUGACGUUCGUGCCCGUUCAAUGUGUACGUGCGUCCCUGUCUAGAAAUUACCAUUGCCACUUCCCUCGAUCGCGGCCAGCCGGUUUUAAUGACCUUUCGACAAGCGAUACGCGUCACGAGACUAAUCGCCUCUCCCCGGGAAAACACCGCGCCGGCAUUGUUCCUUAUCGGCGCUCGUUCACGAUCCGGCCACGAUUUCGUGUCUGACCUCAUCCAUUGUUUACUCCUUCCUUACUUUUCAUUAAUUUUCCUUUUUCCACCGAACGCGCUCGUACGCGCUUCGACAUUCUCGAUCGAACGCUUCACGCUCUCCUCUUCCUUCUACGCUAUUGGAAAGCAACUAUUAUUAUUAUUAUUAUUAUUAUUAUUAUUAUUAUUAUAUCUUAAUGUUCGAUGCGAUCCCAUUGUUCGGAAUUGCAAAAUUUCUUCCUAAUCCCUGGGAAAAAUAUUCGAGCGGAGAUAAUAAUUCGACGGGCCGGGGGUCGAAAUUCGCGCAUUUCGAAAAGGAGGGGAGCGGAGGGAGAGAGGAGAGAAAAAAAAGAGAGAUCGAGGAGGAAGAUCGAAGAAAGGAGGGAAAAACAGUGGAUGACAGUGCAGAAAAAUCCGAUCGAUCCCCGGAGCGGCGGUCGGGGUGGGGGAUCCGCGCGAGGCAAGCCGCCACGGCCGUCGGUUCAGAUCCGCUCAGGAGGGGGUUCUAACCCUGGGUGGGGGCUCUUAAAGGCAACCGGGUGCCGUCCGACCGUCGGAAUUCGGGUGGUGGAAGGGAAGUCCAGGUUAACCGUCACGCGCUAUCCCCUCCCCUGACGGCUGGUCGCCCCCACCCUUAAGGUGGCAGCGCCUCCGCCGGGCAUUCCAUCGGGUGGCACGCUUCGACGAGACGACAGAAGACGUUCGUCGUUCGUACGCUCGGUCAGUCGUGCUCUGACGCCCGUUCCGAGUGGUCGGAGUUCAGUGAGGCGAACAACAGAGAGGAAAAGAGAGAGAGAGAGAGAGAAAAGAGAGAGGAGGAUACGAGAGGCUGCAUGUCCGUAUGUACGUGUGAUUGUGUUAAUUUAUAUUUAUAUCGAGUGCAGAGAAACGAAAUUUAUAAUUCCUCUCUAUCGUGAGAAUAGAAAAAGAUCGACGCUUAUCAUUGCAAGAGUAUCAAAUAAAUAUUGAUCUCUUUGUCAAAACUUA